ACGGGAGGCAGCAGUAGGGAAUCUUCCGCAAUGGACGAAAGUCUGACGGAGCAACGCCGCGUGAGUGAUGAAGGUUUUCGGAUCGUAAAACUCUGUUGUUAGGGAAGAACAAGUACGAGAGUAACUGCUCGUACCUUGACGGUACCUAACCAGAAAGCCACGGCUAACUACGUGCCAGCAGCCGCGGUAAUACGUAGGUGGCAAGCGUUGUCCGGAAUUAUUGGGCGUAAAGCGCGCGCAGGCGGUCCUUUAAGUCUGAUGUGAAAGCCCACGGCUCAACCGUGGAGGGUCAUUGGAAACUGGGGGACUUGAGUGCAGGAGAGAAGAGUGGAAUUCCACGUGUAGCGGUGAAAUGCGUAGAGAUGUGGAGGAACACCAGUGGCGAAGGCGACUCUUUGGCCUGUAACUGACGCUGAGGCGCGAAAGCGUGGGGAGCAAACAGGAUUAGAUACCCUGGUA
rnacentral:rRNA from 1 species